GACGAACGCUGGCGGCGUGCUUAACACAUGCAAGUCGAACGGAAAGGCCCCUUCGGGGGUACUCGAGUGGCGAACAGGUGAGUAACACGUGAGUAACCUGCCCUUGACUUCGGGAUAACUUCAGUAAACUGGGGCUAAUACCGGAUAGGAAUCCUUGCUGCAUGGUGGGGGUUGGAAAGCUUCGGCGGUUUUGGAUGGAGUCGCGGCUCAUCAGCUUGUUGGUGGGGUAGUGGCUUACCAAGGCUUUGACGGGUAGCCGGCCUGAGAGGGCGACCGGCCACAUUGAGACUGAGAGACGGCACAGACUCCGACGGGAGGCAGAAGUGGGGAAUAUUGCACAAUGGGCAGAAGCCUGAUGCAGAAACGCCGCGGGCGGGAUAGCGGUCUUCGGGUUAAAAAACGCUUUCAGCAGGAGCGAAGCUUGUGGUGACGGUACCUGCAGAAGAAGCACCGGCUAACUACGUG
rnacentral:rRNA from 1 species